rnacentral:rRNA from 1 species
CCUACGGGUGGCUGCAGUGGGGAAUAUUGGACAAUGGGGGGAACCCUGAUCCAGCCAUGCCGCGUGUGUGAAGAAGGCCCUCGGGAUGUAAAGCACUUUCAGUGAGGAAGAACGCCUGGUGGUUAAUACCCAUCAGGAAAGACAUCACUCACAGAAGAAGCACCGGCUAACUCCGGGCCAGCAGCCGCGGUAAUACGGAGGGGGCGAGCGUUAAUCGGAAUUACUGGGCGUAAAGCGCGCGUAGGUGGCUUGAUAAGCCGGUUGUGAAAGCCCCGGGCUCAACCUGGGAACGGCAUCCGGAACUGUCAAGCUAGAGUGCAGGAGAGGAAGGUAGAAUUCCCGGUGUAGCGGUGAAAUGCGUAGAGAUCGGGAGGAAUACCAGUGGCGAAGGCGGCCUUCUGGACUGACACUGACACUGAGGUGCGAAAGCGUGGGUAGCAAACAGGAUUAGAUACCCUUGUAGUC